GUGCUCAGGCCCUGAGUCCAAGGCCCAGGACUAGCCAAAAAAAAAAAAAAAAAAGAAAAAGAAAUAGAAUCUAGAGCCUGCUUUACAUAGCUCUACAAGGCAGUGUUAUAUAUUCCAAUACUAGGAGUACACACUUAAAAGUAUAGCCAUAUGAAUGUGAAACCCAAGACUAGAUUCCCAAUUACAGGUGGCAAUGGGUCCCUCCAGCUUUCAGGAAA